GAUGAACGCUGGCGGCGUGCCUAAUACAUGCAAGUCGAGCGAACGGACGAGAAGCUUGCUUUUCUGAUGUUAGCGGCGGACGGGUGAGUAACACGUGGAUAACCUACCUAUAAGACUGGGAUAACUUCGGGAAACCGGAGCUAAUACCGGAUAAUAUUUUGAACCGCAUGGUUCAAAAGUGAAAGACGGUCUUGCUGUCACUUAUAGAUGGAUCCGCGCUGCAUUAGCUAGUUGGUAAGGUAACGGCUUACCAAGGCAACGAUGCAUAGCCGACCGAGAGGGUGAUCGGCCACACUGGAACUGAGACACGGUCCAGACUCCUACGGGAGGCAGCAGUAGGGAAUCUUCCGCAAUGGGCGAAAGCCUGACGGAGCAACGCCGCGUGAGUGAUGAAGGUCUUCGGAUCGUAAAACUCUGUUAUUAGGGAAGAACAUAUGUGUAAGUAACUGUGCACAUCUUGACGGUACCUAAUCAGAAAGCCACGGCUAACUACGUG
rnacentral:rRNA from 1 species